rnacentral:rRNA from 1 species
CACGUAGGCACCAAGCGUUGUCCGGAUUUAUUGGGCGUAAAGGGCUCGUAGGCGGUCUGUUGCGUCGGGAGUGAAAACUCAGGGCUUAACCCUGAGCCUGCUUCCGAUACGGGCAGACUAGAGGUAUGCAGGGGAGAACGGAAUUCCUGGUGUAGCGGUGAAAUGCGCAGAUAUCAGGAGGAACACCGGUGGCGAAGGCGGUUCUCUGGGCAUUACCUGACGCUGAGGAGCGAAAGUGUGGGGAGCGAACAGG